CGUCUUGACGGUACCUAAUCAGAAAGCCACGGCUAACUACGUGCCAGCAGCCGCGGUAAUACGUAGGUGGCAAGCGUUAUCCGGAAUUAUUGGGCGUAAAGCGCGCGUAGGCGGUUUUUUAAGUCUGAUGUGAAAGCCCACGGCUCAACCGUGGAGGGUCAUUGGAGACUGGAAAACUUGAGUGCAGAAGAGGAAAGUGGAAUUCCAUGUGUAGCGGUGAAAUGCGCAGAGAUAUGGAGGAACACCAGUGGCGAAGGCGACUUUCUGGUCUGUAACUGACGCUGAUGUGCGAAAGCGUGGGGAUCAAACAGGAUUAGAUACCCUGGUAGUCCACGCCGUAAACGAUGAGUGCUAAGUGUUAGGGGUUUCCGCCCUUAGUGCUGCAGCUAACGCAUUAACGCACUCCGCCUGGGGAGUACGACCGCAAGGUUGAAACUCAAAGGAAUUGACGGGACCCGCACAAGCGUGAGCAUGUGGUUAACUCGAAGCAACGCGAAGAACCUUACCAAAUCUUGACAUCCUCUAGACAACUGUAGAGUAAC
rnacentral:rRNA from 1 species